CUAUGCUACAUGGGGAGCCAGCGGUGCCCUGUCACCUGCAAUCCGCUAUAGCAGGAUGGAAUGCCAGGCAGAGGAUUUUGCUUGGUUUAUCCGCGAAGAUGCGAGGCGAUGACGUUUUCUGUUUCGCGCAAUAAAUUAUUGGCGAACCCCGUCAGGCCUGGAAGGGAGCAGCGGCAGUUAAUUUGUUUAUGUGCCGCGGAACUUCUGAAAACCAGCCAACUGUCUAAGCGAAUCUACCAAAAACGAAUUCAAUGCCUGGUGCAUAG
rnacentral:SRP_RNA from 1 species